rnacentral:lncRNA from 1 species
GCUUUUCUGAUAGUUCUCUGCAAUCUCAGCUCCCUAUUGCCUUUGCCCUUGCUUGGUCUUCUUCCUGAUGAUGAACCGGAUACAAAAGAAAAUACCGAUAUAGAGAUGAAAUCUAAUUGAAUUCUUGCCUAUCCUGAAUCUGGCUAAGCUUUUGCUACAAGAAAAUACUGAUAUAGAUAUGAAAAGUAAUUGAAUUCUUGCCUGCUGUGCGCAUCCUGAAUCUGCCUAAGCUUUUGCUGCAGCUCUUUGAGAAAACAAUAGGAGAGAAUACACAUGUACAUACAAAUACUAAUAUCGAAUGACUAAACAGAUGAGUUAUGUCAGUUCAUCACCCCCAUAGAAAAAGCUUAAGGGACUAGUGAUCUUUAUGUGUAGAGAAGUUGAGUAAAGGGCGAGAUAGAUCUUGAACCUCGUUGAUCCUUAACGUAUGUAAUGCUGAAUGAUCUUGUAACUUGUAAGUCUUGAAUUCCCAUCGAGAAAUUGACCAACUUUUGGCAUUUCAUGAUCAAAUCAUUGCCAAAAGACAUUGAACUAUUUAUAACAUUGACUAUUCCAUAUGGGAAUA